AUGCUGGAGGUAUCAGAAGUGCGAAUGCUGACAUAAGUAACGAUAAAGCGGGUGAAAAGCCCGCUCGCCGGAAGACCAAGGGUUCCUGUCCAACGUUAAUCGGGGCAGGGUGAGUCGACCCCUAAGGCGAGGCCGAAAGGCGUAGUCGAUGGGAAACAGGUUAAUAUUCCUGUACUUGGUGUUACUGCGAAGGGGGGACGGAGAAGGCUAUGUUGGCCGGGCGACGGUUGUCCCGGUUUAAGCGUGUAGGCUGGUUUUCCAGGCAAAUCCGGAAAAUCAAGGCUGAGGCGUGAUGACGAGGCACUACGGUGCUGAAGCAACAAAUGCCCUGCUUCCAGGAAAAGCCUCUAAGCAUCAGGUAACAUCAAAUCGUACCCCAAACCGACACAGGUGGUCAGGUAGAGAAUACCAAGGCGCUUGAGAGAACUCGGGUGAAGGAACUAGGCAAAAUGGUGCCGUAACUUCGGGAGAAGGCACGCUGAUACGUAGGUGAAGUCCCUUGCGGAUGGAGCUGAAAUCAGUCGAAGAUACCAGCUGGCUGCAACUGUUUAUUAAAAACACAGCACUGUGCAAACACGAAAGUGGACGUAUACGGUGUGACGCCUGCCCGGUGCCGGAAGGUUAAUUGAUGGGGUUAGCGGUAACGCGAAGCUCUUGAUCGAAGCCCCGGUAAACGGCGGCCGUAACUAUAACGGUCCUAAGGUAGCGAAAUUCCUUGUCGGGUAAGUUCCGACCUGCACGAAUGGCGUAAUGAUGGCCAGGCUGUCUCCACCCGAGACUCAGUGAAAUUGAACUCGCUGUGAAGAUGCAGUGUACCCGCGGCAAGACGGAAAGACCCCGUGAACCUUUACUAUAGCUUGACACUGAACAUUGAGCCUUGAUGUGUAGGAUAGGUGGGAGGCUUUGAAGUGUGGACGCCAGUCUGCAUGGAGCCGACCUUGAAAUACCACCCUUUAAUGUUUGAUGUUCUAACGUUGGCCCGUUAUCCGGGUUGCGGACAGUGUCUGGUGGGUAGUUUGACUGGGGCGGUCUCCUCCUAAAGAGUAACGGAGGAGCACGAAGGUUGGCUAAUCCUGGUCGGACAUCAGGAGGUUAGUGCAAUGGCAUAAGCCAGCUUGACUGCGAGCGUGACGGCGCGAGCAGGUGCGAAAGCAGGUCAUAGUGAUCCGGUGGUUCUGAAUGGAAGGGCCAUCGCUCAACGGAUAAAAGGUACUCCGGGGAUAACAGGCUGAUACCGCCCAAGAGUUCAUAUCGACGGCGGUGUUUGGCACCUCGAUGUCGGCUCAUCACAUCCUGGGGCUGAAGUAGGUCCCAAGGGUAUGGCUGUUCGCCAUUUAAAGUGGUACGCGAGCUGGGUUUAGAACGUCGUGAGACAGUUCGGUCCCUAUCUGCCGUGGGCGCUGGAGAACUGAGGGGGGCUGCUCCUAGUACGAGAGGACCGGAGUGGACGCAUCACUGGUGUUCGGGUUGUCAUGCCAAUGGCACUGCCCGGUAGCUAAAUGCGGAAGAGAUAAGUGCUGAAAGCAUCUAAGCACGAAACUUGCCCCGAGAUGAGUUCUCCCUGACUCCCUGAGAGUCCUGAAGGAACGUUGAAGACGACGACGUUGAUAGGCCGGGUGUGUAAGCGCAGCGAUGCGUUGAGCUAACCGGUACUAAUGAACCGUGAGGCUUAACCUU
rnacentral:rRNA from 1 species